rnacentral:lncRNA from 1 species
AAAAUGUAUUCAACACAGAAAUCUUGAAAAUAUUUAAUGCAUCAAAUAAUUUUUCCUAGCCUGUGAGAUAUCUUGCACUAAAAAUGUCUUUCUGCUGAAGUAUUUUCUGAAAUAUUAGUUUCUACUUUUACUUUUUUCUCCCAGGACAUCCAUUCGUCUGAACCAAAACAGCUCCCUUAUUUUAUUUUUUCCUUUUUUUAUUUUUUCUAGUUCUGAAAUAACCCAUCUUGAAGACAUAAACAACCUGCAUUGAUGGCUAGCCAGACUCUGUCCUGCCACAGUUCUCCUCCUACUCUUCAUUUCUUACCCCAAGGAGUAGUAAACAUGAAUCCUGACCCACCAAUGCAGUCCCAGAACUGAGAAAAGAUUCAUUGCAGCUAAACAGUAGGUAGAAAUAAAAACAAUGACUCAAUUCGAUAAUAUUAAGUGUGUUGGGAAGAGAGUCUCCAAAAGAAAAGAUAAAUAACCUACAUAAUGAAGAAUUACUUAGCAGUGUUAUGUAAAUAUUGUAGCAGCAUCAAUGAGGAGGAUUAUUUUUGCACCUUUGGAAAGCAACUGAAAAAGGAAGCCUGGAAAAAAUGCUGCCUAACAAAGCAGCAGUACUCAAAUAGCUCUAGCUAUAAGAAAGAACUGAUUCAAGAUACGAGAAGAGAUUUAAGAUAUAUGAUUAAAUAUAAGUGUUAAAAAAUCCUCAUUUUUAUUGAAAUGCUGUGUAUUCCUAUUAUUUCAGUGAAGUGCUAAAUGGCAAAGGAUACAUUUUUUAGAUUUUUUUUCACUGAAUUUUAAAUAGUCUUUGAAGCAGAUAUUUCAUAAAACAACAUCCAGAAACAAUAACACAUAUGUGGAUAAAGUUGAAUGGUUGGAUAAUGUAUUGUGCAAAUUAUCAAGAAGAAAACCACCUUAAAGAAAUAUUUUAGCUCGACAGCAUCAAUAAAUAGGACACCUAGUUCACUUUUAAAAAUGACAACAAAUGUUUUCCUCCUAAUAUCCCUGAAGGUCUUAGGUUUGGAAUGACAAAAUAUUGAAAUAUUUUGAAAUUAUCUACAUUUUAAAUAUUUAUUCAAGGAGAAUUGAAUCUUGAUCGACAAUGGUACACAAAUCACUGAAAUUCAAAAAUUCUAAGUCUCAUGUUAGAUAUUAGGAAAUUUUAAUUUUUCAUUUACUAAAAUGGCAAAAAUGUAGACAGUAGAAUAAAUGAAGAAAUGAGAAUGUCUUAGAUAAUCAACAAACUGAGUAAUUAGGUGGAAUUACUCAACGCCUGUAUUAGUCCAUUUUCAUGCUGCUGAUAAAGACAUACCCUAGACUGGGCAAUUUACAAAAGAAAGAGGUUUAUUGGAAUUACAGUUCCACAUGGCUGGGGAGGCAUCACAAUCAUGGCAGAAGGCAAAGAGGAGCAAGUCACAUCUUAUCUGGAUGGCAACAGGCAAAGGGAGAGAGAGAGCUUGUGUAGUAAAACUCCCACGUUUAAAACCAUCAGAUCUCAUGAGACUUGUUCACAAUCAUGAGAACAGCAUGGGAAAGACCUGCCCCCAUGAUUCAACUACCUUCCACUAGGUCCCUCCCACAACAUAUGGGAAUUCAAGGUGAGAUUUGGGUGGGGACACAGCCAAACCUUAUCAACCCCUUUAUACAGCCAACUCUUCAUUCUUUAGCUAUGUUUAUAUAGUUUGUAGACUCUCUACAAAGACUGUUUCACGGAAGGAUGCCUUCUUCCUUCUGGUCUUCCUAUUGUCAUUAGUUAUUGCAUACUCAGAAAAGGCAACAUAUUUUAAUAUUAUAUUUUUUGCAAGAGGCCACCAGAGAAGGAACAUAUCUAGGAAUAGAACCCAGAGGCCCACAUAUGCUGAAUGAAAGUAAAUAAAAACAGAUAUAAGGAAGAUAUUUAGGUUGAAAUUAGGUUAAAAGAGAGAGUAAGUCAAAAUAUAGAAAUGCAGAUACAGGCUAGAAUCUAGGAGUUGCAUCCUGGUUACCAAAGACAGUGAACAGGGGACAGAUGAGCAUAGAAUUCAUUUAGCAAUGGCAAUCGGGUGUCCAGAAAUAAAUCAAACUUCUGAAGGUCUAAGAGAGAGAGGUCAAGGGCUUACAUUAAAUAGAUACAUAGAUUCUCCCAUAUUGGAAAAAAUCCUGCUUCAGACAUUAUUUACAAUCCCAGACCCAAGAGCUGUUGAAUUCAAUUCAGUUUAUGAAUGACCAAGAUAUGUCAAGUCUGUCUCUCAGUAUGUGUUACCUAGCUGUUUGCAGUUGGUAUUACUUCUUACUUCAUUGUGACUUACAACAUUGUAAGACUCUCUACACAGUGAGAAGGAGUAUUAGCUUUCCAAAAUCUAUGUCUCUGUUCAUCACCAACCUAUUUGCCAAACCAAAUUAACUGUAAAUAGGUAAAUAGUAAAGUAUUACAGGAAAAACAGGAGCAAGGUAGAGGGACUGGUGAUUAUUUGUGAGCUGGACUAGAGGUGGCAUAGUUGGAACCUGAGAUACUGCAGAGCCAGCUGACUUGAUUGACAUUUUGACUGAGGUAGGAGAGGAAACUGGAACUGAGGACAAGAUCUACACGUUUGCUUUCCUGGGUCAGAAACUAGGAUUUGGGAGACAUUUAUAAACAGCACUGCUCUUGAAAUCUUUAGGAAAUAAUUGAAUUUAGGGUUAAUUCUACCUUACAACUUCUCUUGUAAUGUGGAGUGGGACCUAAUUUAAAAGAACAGACACAAUCAGAAGAAGCCUGUUGCAAUCAAUAUUUCUAUGGAAUGAAAGACUCCAGGAAACAACAGUUCUAAAAUGGCUACUCUAAGAAUGUCGAGGGUUUUGUUAAAACCUAAAUAUGUACCACAGUGUUGAAUUUUGAAUUGUCAACACAAGAUUUAAAAUGUCAAUUAAUUUGAGCAAACUCCCACACCUCUGAGACAUCCAAUUGUGGAGAAAAAGUUUUUUAAAACCCAAAUUAUUCAUGGAAUAGAUGGUAUCUAUUUAAUAUUUCACUUCAGGUUUCAUCUCAGAUUUUUUUUUAAAAAGCUUUUUUUUUUUUUUUUUUUUUUUUUUUUUUUACAUGAAGAGUAUUUUAAACACAGUUUACUGUUAAUCCUCUGAAAACUAACCCAUGGUCACUUGUCAUAUAAACCAGUCAAUCCAAGCUCUAGAGACUGAUUGUAUCCUCAAAAUGAAAAAUUCUUAAAAAAAUAAACAGAUCAGUACAAAAUGAACCUUACCUGACAGGGGAAUAUGGCUAAUGAUAAAGAACAAUUUCAGUCACAUUUCGUUUUCAAGAAAAUAUUUCCUGAAGUGUUCAGUAUUAUUAGCCAAUGUACUCUACCUCUUCAUUAUCAGAUUUCAGAUAACUUUUCUGAAUUUCCUAAUAAAAUAUAAUUGUAUUUUUGUUUUAUAAUAAAACAUAAUUUUACUCCUGGGAGUUUGGUUUUAAAAACAAGAUCUUUUUCUAUCAAAUCAAUUCAUUAAGUUCAUUAAAUUAACAAAUUAAAUAUAUUAAUUAAGCCAUCUCUCCAAUUUUUAUUUUCACCCCUUUUCUCCAUCUCUGCUCUCCCCAUUCAGUGGAGUUUUCCUCUCUGUGCUAAAAGAGGCUAUGAUGGCUCCUGAAUGAUUUUGGCCUAGAGAUGGGCACAUGAUGUGAGUUGGAUCAAUUAGAAAACUUCAUUGAGAUUUCAUUUAGAGCCUCUGGGAGAUAAAUGCUCUCUCCUUCCUCUGGUUCGUCUAAGCCAGAAUUUGUGCCUUCCAAGUCAACUACAGGCCAUGCUUAUCUCCCACUGUUUGCAAGAAUCAAAUCAUCAAAAAGAAAAAAAUAAUAACAUAAAAACAUGUAGAUAAACAAAGAUGAGGCGAGCAAAAUAAGGGAGAGAAGGAGGGAGGGAGAAAGAAAGCAAUAAGGUGCAGAGCUCAGGGAAGAAGAAAGAGGAAGAACCUAGAUCCAGCCCUAUUCUUUCCACUAAACUGUAUAGACCCCCUUUUUAUUUUCUUUAGGCUAGUUUGAGUUGGGAUUUUGUCAUUUGAAAUUGAAAGUGUUCGAACUAAAAUACUGUUCAAAGAGAUUUCUUCCUGGUAUUACGUGUGCCUGUGUUUCUUCAACAUUCCAAGAUUUUGACAUUUAAUUAAAAAGCUUCUAAGUGAUCUGGUUGGCUUAAUUUUAAGAUCUGUGCUUUUCAGGAAUUGAUUUAAAUAAAUAAUGGUGUUGACAAUAUCCCAAAUAUAGCUUCUUUAGGGUCACUAUUAUGGAAUUUUUGGAAUUGAACUAAUCUAAAGAAUACAUUGAAGCAAUUAUCUCUAUUCAAAAUAACCUAUGUCUCAUAAAAUUCAUUUAAGGAGUUGUUUGUUAUAACACUGACCAUAGCAAAGAAUAAAUUAAAAGCCUAAUAUUUUGGGGAUUCUAAAUAUGGUGUUAUUUAAAAAACUGUUUAUCCUAAAAAAUCCAAAACUACUCUGUAUGAUAGCUUGUAUUAGUCUGUUUUCAUGCUGCUGUAAAGAACUGCUCCAAGACUAGGUAAUUUAUAAAAGAAAAAGGUUUAAUUGACUCAUAAUUCCACAUGGCUGGGGAGACUUUAGGAAACUUACAAUCACGGAGGAAAGGGAAGCAAACACAUCCUUCUUCAUACAGUGACAGGUGAGAGAAGCGCAGAGCAAAGAGAGGAAAAGACCCUUAUAAAACCAUCAGAUCUCGUGAGAACUCACUGAUUACGUUGAGAACAGCACGGGGGAAUUGCUGCCAUUAUCUAAUCACCUCCCAUGAGGUCUCUCCCCCAACACAUGGGGAUUACAAUUUGGAUUAUAAUUCAAGAUGAGAUUUAGGGUGGGGACACAGCGAAACCAUAUCAUAGCUGAAUUUAAUUUUUAAAUUUAAACGUGCUUCUAUAUUUUUAGUGAAUAAAAACUUACAUUUUCUGAACUCAGGUACCUUACAAAAUAUGAACUAUUUUUUUUCUAGAGCAGUUUUAGGUUUGCAGCAAAAUUGAGUGGAAAAUAGAGAUUCCCUAUAUUUUUUCCCCCACGUAUGCCCAAUCUUGCCUGCUAUCAAAACCCCACAGUAUAUAUCCCAUAUAAUUUCAUAGUAAUCUGCAUUUAAGGUCCCUUUAAGUUUUUUCAUGGCCAAAUAGAUCAUUUCAUUUUAGUGCUGAAUGAUAUUCUAUUGUCUG